rnacentral:rRNA from 1 species
GCUUAGGGCCACACCGCCUGGUUCACGCCCGUUCUCGUUUGAUCUCGGAAGCUAAGAUAGGGUGGGCCUGGUUAGUACUUGGAUGGGAGACCGCCUGGGAAUACCAGGUGUUGUAAGAU